rnacentral:lncRNA from 1 species
UUCAUUCAUAGCUCAAUCAUUCUUCUUUGUUUCAAAGAAAUGGAGAACCACUAUUCUUCCUACUUGUUCUACUUAGCUAUCUUAUUGUUUUUUACUCCAAUUUUAUUCAGAUAUUUUUUCCAUAGAAGAAGAAAUCUCCCACCAAGUCCAUUUUCAUUUCCAAUAAUUGGUCAAAUUUACUUUCUCAAAAGUACUCUGCAUCUUACUCUAACAUCUUUAUCAGCUAAACAUGGCCCUGUUUUAUACCUCAAAUUAGGCUAUAAUAUGCCUGUGAUUGUUGUGUCUUCGCCAUCUGCUGUCGAAGAAUGUUUAACCAAAAAUGAUGUUAUAUUUGCAAACAGACCUAAAACAUUAGCCGGUGACAAAUUCACCUUCAAUUAUAUUGUUUACGUUUGGGCACCUUAUGGACAACUUUGGAGGAUUCUUCGUUGUUUGCCGGAUAAGGACAUAGUAAGAGGAGGACCAAUAUACACAUAGUUGUGGAAAAAAAUUGAGAGGGGAAACAUAAGAAAGAGAAAAAAACGUUUCAAAUAUUGUUAGUCUCGAAGUGAAUGGUGUUUACCACGUGAAUAACGUAAUUAUCAAUGUAGAUGUAGAUAUGUGAUGGAUAUAAUAAAGAUAUAGAUUGGGUUUGGAAAAUGAAAAGAGAAUCAAGCUUUUAGUCUCCUUUACUGUAUUUAUUUAUUAGAAGUAUACAAAGUCGUUUGCGUGGUCCUCUCAAACUCUUUUUUUAUUCCAAGUACUAAAUUAAUUUCUAUUUCAGCACGUUGGCUUUGAAAUUUCUAAACCUUAAAUAGUUUUUAUUUUUUUUGGAUUUAUUCCGUAUGUGAUAUCAGCAUUGGAGUCAGAGGUAGAGUUAGGAUUACGAGUUUGAGGUUUUAAACUUUAGUGGAGUUCAAACUCACAAUAUCAGUGUGAAAAGUAUUUUCACCACUCAUCCUUACCAGAGGCGAAUCUAGGAUUUUUCAAACAUGGGUGCUCCCAGAAAUAUGUAUUAAGUGGGAAUUGAUCCGAACAUGGAUGCAUCAAGAAAAAUGUAUUCAGUGAGAAUUGAUUCUUAAUGCUCAAGGUCAAAAGCUCAACAUUUAACCAUGUGGACCAAAUAGACUUCUUAUAGUACGGGUGCCAGAAUAUAAUAAUAUACAAAUUUUAGAAAAUAUGUACAUUAAAUAUCUAGUUUUACGAAGAGACCAUGGGUUCCGAUGCCCUAUUUUUUACCUUUAGAUUCACCACUGAUCCUUACCAUUGAACUGUCAAUUAAAUUUGUUAGGAAAUUCACAAGUUAAUAUUAUAUAUAUAUAAAAAAAAUUCUAAUACAAAUACAGAGUCAAUUGAAACCCCACAAAGUAUUUUCACCACUCAUCCUUACCAUUGAACUGUCAAUUAAUUUUGUUAGGGGAUUCACAAGUUAAUAGACAUAUAUAUAUUUAUUUAAUUUUCUAAUACAAAUGAAGAGUCAAUUGAAACCCCACCUAGUUCCACCUCUUAUUAGAACUCGACUAAUUCAAAUUCAUACUUCACUCGAACGGAAACUUUUCUAUGCAUGGGUGGAGCUGGCAUAUUGUUAUGGGGUCCAUUCGAACCCCCUUCAGCGGAAAAUAUUACUCCCUCCGUUCCAUUUUAUGUGAGUUAGUUUGACUCGGCUCGAAGUUUAAGAAAAAAAAAGACUUUUAAAACUUGUGGUCCAAAAUGAAUGAUAAAAAUUUGUGUGGGUAUAAAUCAUUUCAAUAAUUGUAAUAUAGACAUUUUAUAGUUAAAUUGUUACUUAAUAUAAAAAUGUGUCAUUCUUUGUUGGACUGACUAAAAAGAAAAGUAAGUCACAUAAAUUGAGACAGAAAGAGUAUUAUUUAUAUAUGAUUAAAAUUAUUUUUUAUCUAUAUAUAGUAAAUAUUGAAUCCCUUUUAAUUAGCUAGUGUGUUUACUUCUUUAGAUUUUGAACCUUUUUAUUAAAAAUUCUAGCUCCAUCACUAAUCUUACAAAGGAUUUUCCCAUAUCCAAAAUCGAAUUCGAGAUGUCUGAUGAACGGAAUAGUUGACUCAUCACCGCACAAUAUCCUUUUAAAUAGUUAGUCUCUUCGCUCAUAGCUCAAUCAUUCUUCUUUGCUUCAAAGAAUGGAGAACCACUACUCUUCCUACUUGUUCUACUUAGCUAUCUUAUUGUUUUUUACUCCAAUUUUAUUCAGAUAUAUUUUCCAUAGAAGAAGAAAUCUCCCACCAAGUCCAUUUUCAUUUCCAAUAAUUGGUCAUAUUUACCUUCUCAAAAGUACUCUGCAUCUUACUCUAACAUCUUUAGCAGCUAAAUAUGGCCCUGUUUUAUACCUCAAAUUAGGCUAUAAUAUGCCUGUGAUUGUUGUGUCUUCGCCAUCUGCUGUCGAAGAAUGUUUAACCAAAAAUGAUGUUAUAUUUGCAAACAGACCUAAAACAUUAGCCGGUGACAAAUUCACCUUCAAUUAUAUUGUUUAUGUUUGGGCACCUUAUGGACAACUUUGGAGGAUUCUUCGUCGUUUGACUGUCGUAGAGUUAUUCUCUUCGCAGAGCCUUCAAAAGAGUUCUACUCUGAGAGAUCAAGAAAUUGGAACUUUUAUCCGUUCUUUGUACAGAUUUUCAACGAGUAAUA